rnacentral:rRNA from 1 species
AUUUAUGAAAGAUUAACUUCUGCGAAAGCAUCUGCCAAGGAUGUUUUCAAUAAUCAAGAACGAAAGUUAGGGGAUCGAAGACGAUCAGAUACCGUCGUAGUCUUAACCAUAAACGAUGCCGACCAGCGAUUAGGAGACGUUGAAUACAAAACACCACCAUCGGCGCGGUCGUCCUUGGCGUCUCGGUCCUUCACGGGGCCGGGGCGCGGGGGCGGCUUAACCCGGUGGCACCGGUGAAUGACUCCCCUAGCAGCUUGUGAGAA